CAAUAGCGUAUAUUUAAGUUGUUGCAGUUAAAAAGCUCGUAGUUGGAUUUCGGAUGGGACUUGCCGGUCCGUCGUUUCGAUGUGCACUGGCCAGUCCUAUCUUGUUGUCGGGGACUAGCUCCUGGGCUUCACUGUCCGGGACUAGGAGCUGACGAGGUUACUUUGAGUAAAUUAGAGUGUUCAAAGCAAGCCUACGCUCUGAAUACAUUAGCAUGGAAUAACACGAUAGGACUCUGGCUUAUCUUGUUGGUCUGUGAGACCAGAGUAAUGAUUAAGAGGGACAGUCGGGGGCAUUCGUAUUCCGUUGUCAGAGGUGAAAUUCUUGGAUUUACGGAAGACGAACAUCUGCGAAAGCAUUUGCCAAGGAUGUUUUCAUUG
rnacentral:rRNA from 1 species